AGUGAACGCUGGCGGUAGGCCUAACACAUGCAAGUCGAACGGCAGCACAGUAAGAGUUUGCUCUUACGGGUGGCGAGUGGCGGACGGGUGAGGAAUACAUCGGAAUCUACUUUUUCGUGGGGGAUAACGUAGGGAAACUUACGCUAAUACCGCAUACGACCUACGGGUGAGAGCAGGGGAUCUUCGCACCUUGCGCGAUUGAAUGAGCCGAUGUCGGAUUAGCUAGUUGGCGGGGUAAAGGCCCACCAAGGCGACGAUCCGUAGCUGGUCUGAGAGGAUGAUCAGCCACACUGGAACUGAGACACGGUCCAGACUCCUACGGGAGGCAGCAGUGGGGAAUAUUGGACAAUGGGCGCAAGCCUGAUCCAGCCAUACCGCGUGAGUGAAGAAGGCCUUCGGGUUGUAAAGCCCUUUUGUUGGGAAAGAAAAGCAGCAGGUUAAUACCCCGCUGUUCUGACGGUACCCAAAGAAUAAGCACCGGCUAACUUCGUG
rnacentral:rRNA from 1 species